CAGGUGUAGCGGUGAAAUGCGUAGAGAUCUGGAGGAAUACCGGUGGCGAAGGCGGCCCCCUGGACGAAGACUGACGCUCAGGUGCGAAAGCGUGGGGAGCAAACAGGAUUAGAUACCCUGGUAGUCCACGCCGUAAACGAUGUCGACUUGGAGGUUGUGCCCUUGAGGCGUGGCUUCCGGAGCUAACGCGUUAAGUCGACCGCCUGGGGAGUACGGCCGCAAGGUUAAAACUCAAAUGAAUUGACGGGGGCCCGCACAAGCGGUGGAGCAUGUGGUUUAAUUCGAUGCAACGCGAAGAACC
rnacentral:rRNA from 1 species